UACAGAGGGUGCGAGCGUUAAUCGGAAUUACUGGGCGUAAAGCGUGCGUAGACGGUCAUGUAAGUCGGGUGUGAAAGCCCCGGGCUCAACCUGGGAAUUGCAUUCGAGACUGCAUGGCUAGGAUGCGGAAGAGGGAAGCGGAAUUUCCGGUGUAGCGGUGAAAUGCGUAGAUAUCGGAAGGAACACCAGUGGCGAAAGCGGCUUCCUGGUCCAGCAUCGACGUCAGGCACGAAAGCGUGGGGAGCAAACAGG
rnacentral:rRNA from 1 species